rnacentral:rRNA from 1 species
UGCAAGUCGCACGAUGAAGCCCAGNUUGCUGGGUGGAUUAGUGGCGAACGGGUGAGUAACACGUGAGUAACCUGCCCCUGACUCUGGGAUAAGCGUUGGAAACGACGUCUAAUACUGGAUAUGACUACUGGUCGCAUGGCCUGGUGGUGGAAAGAUUUUUUGGUUGGGGAUGGACUCGCGGCCUAUCAGCUUGUUGGUGAGGUAAUGGCUCACCAAGGCGACGACGGGUAGCCGGCCUGAGAGGGUGACCGGCCACACUGGGACUGAGACACGGCCCAGACUCCUACGGGAGGCAGCAGUGGGGAAUAUUGCACAAUGGGCGAAAGCCUGAUGCAGCAACGCCGCGUGAGGGAUGACGGCCUUCGGGUUGUAAACCUCUUUUAGUAGGGAAGAAGCGAAAGUGACGGUACCUGCAGAAAAAGCACCGGCUAACUACGUGCCAGCAGCCGCGGUAAUACGUAGGGUGCAAGCGUUGUCCGGAAUUAUUGGGCGUAAAGAGCUCGUAGGCGGUUUGUCGCGUCUGCUGUGAAAUCCCGAGGCUCAACCUCGGGCUUGCAGUGGGUACGGGCAGACUAGAGUGCGGUAGGGGAGAUUGGAAUUCCUGGUGUAGCGGUGGAAUGCGCAGAUAUCAGGAGGAACACCGAUGGCGAAGGCAGAUCUCUGGGCCGUAACUGACGCUGAGGAGCGAAAGCGUGGGGAGCGAACAGGAUUAGAUACCCU